rnacentral:siRNA from 1 species
GUCCUUCCUGGUGCGUUUGUGCCA